UAAUAGCGUAUAUUAAAGUUGUUGCAGUUAAAAAGCUCGUAGUCGGAUGUCGGGCUCGGGCAGGCUGUCGGCUUCGGUCGGACGGCAGGCUCGGGUCUUUCUGCCUGAGGAUCCAUCUCACUCACUUGGGGUGGGGACGCAGGCCGUUUACUUUGAAAAAAUUAGAGUGUUCAAAGCAGGCCUACGCUUGAAUACAUUAGCAUGGAAUAAUGGAAUAGGACUUUGGUGCUAUUUUGUUGGUUUAUGGGACCGAAGUAAUGAUUAACAGGGACAGUUGGGGCCGUUUAUAUUUCGUUGUCAGAGGUGAAAUUCUUGGAUUUGCGAAAGAUAAACUUCUGCGAAAGCAUUCGGCAAGGAUGUUUUCAUUGA
rnacentral:rRNA from 1 species